AGACACUGAUCCUUAUACUUCUUGUGUUGGUGAUCGUUGAUAGUCUUGUCUCGGUUGAUGGUUGGCGCCGGCGUAGACGUCGUCGACGUUCCGGAGGUGGUGGUACUGGUGGUGGUGGUGGUGGUACCGGUGGUGGUACCGGUGGUGGUGGAACUGGGAGUGGUGGCAGGCCAUGCUCGUCCGGUUAUGAUGCCGCAUUUUCUAUGUGCUGCGGCGGGAUAGUGCGAUCGAAGAUCGGUAUCCGUCCAGCCUGCUGUGCUACGAACACCUACGACGCCUCGUUCAGUAUGUGCUGUAAUGGCCAAGUGAGAAGCAAGACCGGGAUACGGCCUUCUUGCUGCGGUACAUCCUCCUAUGACGCUUCUUUCAGUAUGUGUUGUAAUGGUAAUGUUGUUACAAAAACCGGAAUUUAUCCUUCGUGCUAAGUGGAAAUCCAAACAGUCUUAUUAAAUUUAUUGGAAUGUCCGAAAAUCGCCUUGCAAAGCUUGAACAUUGUUGAACACCAGAUUGUAAGAAUACUACUAAUAAAAUAUUAUUUUGUAAAAAAACUUAUAUGCUAUUCUCGACGAACUGUCUAUCUGUGCCUGUAUUACUAGGUGCAAUAAGCAUGGGAGACGACGAAGACGAUGCCUCGCUACAACUUUGAUGAUUUGCAUACUGAUUACUGAUACAAGUUCUAUUUUUGUACUCACAUUGCUGUAUUGUUGCCUGUCUUGAACAGUUCAGUUUUUGUACUUGUAUAAUGAAGCAGAUCAAUGCCUUUUUUCAUGAAAUAAAAGUCAAUAGUUUACUUUA